CGUCGUGUUACUGGUAUAUAUCGGGCUGAUGUGAUGUCAGUACACAGACUAGUGAAUAUAUAACUACAGGUAGUACACUCGGUCGUGUUAUUGGUAUAUACCGGGCUGAUGUGAUGUCAGUACACAGACUAGUGAAUAUAUAACUACAGGUAGUACACUCCGUCGUGUUACCGGUAUAUAUCGGGCUGAUGUGAUGUCAGUACACAGACUAGUGAAUAUAUAACUACAGGUAGUACACUCCGUCGUGUUACCGGUAUAUAUCGGGCUGAUGUGAUGUCAGUACACAGGCUGAUGUGAUGUCAGUACACAGACUGUAGUUAAUAUAUAACUACAGGUAGUACACUCCGUCGUGUUACCGGUAUAUAUCGGGCUGAUGUGAUGUCAGUACACAGACUAGUGAAUAUAUAACUACAGGUAGUACACUCCGUCGUGUUACCGGUAUAUAUCGGGCUGAUGUGAUGUCAGUACACAGACUGUAGUGUGUAAGUACACAGACUGUACAAAUAGUACUUGUACCACUAAUUCAUAAUUUAUCCAUUAAAAACUAAUGAACUUCUUAAAAAUUUAUGCAUGGAUGAAUUGGAUGUACAUCUCGUUAUUUAUUAUUGCGUAUGCUAAAACAUGUCUAUACAACAAUUUCCCUAAAUAUUUUGGAGAAAACUGCUCACAUAUAUUUCAUAAAUAAGUAGAUUUUUUUUAAACAGUUUGCCUUCUUUUGUUUGGUUUGAUUACCCUCAGGGGUCUGGUUACAUCGAGAACAGAUUUGGGAUGAUUACUAGUAGGUACCUCGUUUUCUAACUAAAAUGAAGAAAAAUCAAUUGGAGUACAGAUUUGACACUUAUUUAAUGGAAUGAUAGGAUAUCACAAUUUUAUAGAACCAAUGUAAUAUAUUUUAUAGGAUAUCAGAAAUAAUUAAAUGGCUUCACUUUUGAAUUACCAAACUGACCAAAUCAGAUGACAAUAUGUCAUACAAUUUUCUCUUAAUCUCCAUAAUUCAUAACACUGUCUUAAAUGAAAAAUUCUGUAUUCUGUAAAGGAAGAUUAGUUUUCUAUAAUUACAACUUGGAUCACAUAACUUAUAUUGGGAAGAUUUCUCAUUUUACUAGGAAGAUUUUUUUUAUAUAACUAUUUUUCACUAAAAUGUUAAUAUUCAUUAGAAUGGUGUAACGGCUGGAACUGAAGAGCAAUAGAAGAAAUCUCUUGGAAUGUUGUAUACAUUUAUUAACAACAGGAAUAUUUUUGUUCAUGCAUGAGGAUUCCUCGUGAUGCACAUAAAAUGUCCUCCAGUGAAGAGUAGACAUAUGAUUUUUACAUGGAUUGUCCCAUUAUUGGGACUACAAGCUCAAAUAUCAUUGUUAAAUAUCUUUUUUUUUGACGUCUUGCUGAUGAAAAGAGUGCUGUUUUAAGUUACUCACGUGGUGACUGUUUCUGUAGCGUUAUCUGUGAUUUAUUUUGUUGUAUUUUAAUGACUAUAUAGUUUUCAUUGUUCACCCAAAUUGUUGUUAUAGCAACAUUUCCUGUCCUACUUGCCAUAGUGAUGUUGUGGGCAUCCUUUUCUAGUUACCGAGACUUCCCACAUUGUUUACUGCGGAUGUACAUAGACUGGGUUAUCAUUGUUAUUUAAGAAGACACCAGUCCUAUGUUUUGUUUUGUUAAGUGGUGAUUUUUGAGAAUGGUUUCUAUGUUUAUUAUAACUGUUGUAACUGUACUGUCCAACAUAAAACUGGAAGUACAUUUCAGUGAGUUGUAGAUAUUGUAAAUACAUGUACAAAGCAAUAGGGUUACCCCUUUGAUGAGCACUAACAUAUUGUAUCCUCAUUAAUCUAUCAAGAGCUUCUUAUCCUCAUUAACAUGUCAGAGUAUUGGUGAGGGUGUUCAAUUCAGAUUCGACCUAGAGGAAAUAGAAUUGGUCCAACUUAGUCUGAUGUAUAUUCUGUCUACUUGUAAAAUCCUCCUUCCUUUUACCUAAAAAGGGUUGUGAUCAUUUUAAUGUUAACAUUGAACAGGAAUACAUUAGAGUUUUUAUUUUGUUUUGUUAUAUAAUGGUUAUUAGCGUACAUAAUAUUCAAUCAGCUAUUGUAAUGUUGUAUACAGUAAUACUACAUGUAUACUAUACUAUAAUGUUGACAUUGUUCUAAGUGAUAUUGUAAUUAUAAUGUCAACAUUAAUGUUUAGGUAUCACUGUAAUGUUGUCAUUAAAUGUUGAUGUGAUACUGUAAUGCUGACAUUGUUUAUAUAUCACCGUAAUGUUGGCAUUAAGUGUGUAGUUGAUACUGUAAUGUUGACAUUAAGUGUUGAUGUGAUAAUGUAAUGUUGACAUUGUUUAGAUAUCCCCGUAAUGUUGACAUUGUUUAGAUAUCCCCGUAAUGUUGACAUUGUUUAGAUAUCCCCGUAAUGUUGACAUUGUUUAGAUAUCCCCGUAAUGUUGACAUUGUUUUGAUAUUACAGUAAUGCUGAAAUUAUUUAAGUGUUGAGAAGAUACUUUUAUGUUGACAUUAAGUGUUGAUACUGUAAUGCUGACAUUCAGUGUUAAAGUGAUACUAUAGUGUUGACAUUAAGUGUGUAGUUGAUGCUGAGAUGUUGACAUUAAGUGUGUAGUUGAUACUAUAGUGUUGACAUUAAGUGUGAAUGUAUCACUGUAAUGUUGACAUUAAGUGUGAAGGUAUUACUGUAAUGUUGACAGUAAAUGUUAAGUUGAUGCUGUGAUGUUGACAGUAAGUGUAGUUGAUACUGUAAUGUUGACAUUAAGUGUGAAGGUAUUACUGUAGUGUUGACAUUAAAUGUGAAGGUGAUACUGUAAUGUUGAUACUUAGUUGUUAGUUAUUACUGUAAUGUUGACAUUAAGUGUGUAGUUGAUACUAUAAUGUUGACAUUAAGUAUUAAGGUGUCAGAUACUGUAAUGUUGACAUUAAAUGUUUAGGUAUUACUGCAAUGUUGACUUUAUGUCGAAACAGUUAUAUAUAGGUUGUCAUGUCAUUUUUCUUGUGAUAUGAAAAAAACACAUUCUAAGUAGACUAGUGUAUAUAUAUAUAUGAGUUUCUGCCACAACAAAUGAAUCACAUCCUGGUCUUAAGGAAGCUAUAACGACGUACUAUCCGUAUCAAUUCCUGCUUGCAUUAGAUGUAUGUACUGUAUAAUUCCAGACAUAUUUCAGAAGAUGGUGGUGGUGAACACUUAUAUAAAGUUAUCUGGACUUAAUGUUUAGGAAUCUGUUGUCUGAUAAAUUACCCAGGAAGCAUGUACUGUUAGCAAUGGGGUUAUUUAUGAUGUAUUUACUCAAGACAAGGAGGCCAAAGGUCACCAGAGGUUGUAGCCAUAUUUACCUGGUUUAACUACCUUUACAAUACUUGCAUUAACUUGUUGAUGUUAUUACUGCUAUAUUAAGUAUGGACACAUGUAUAUAGAAAUCAGAAUUUCAUUUAAAUGGCUGCUUUGGAAUGAAAUAUUUUAAGAAUAAAAAGCAUGCCAUGAACUAGCUUGUUGAUAUUGUCCUGUUAUAGGGAAUCAUUUCCAGAGUAGACCUUGUUUAAAUGGCUUUAUUCUAUUUGUGGUGUCCCUUUGUUUAACAGGUCCUUUGUUGUAAUGUUAUUCUAUAUAACCAUAUUUUCCACUUAACUUUAUCAUUGGUAACUAAAGAUAUACUAUUUUAACCAAUGUGUGGUGUGGUGUGCCUCACAUGAUCUGAAGUUAUUAAGUGUACAUUUUGGAAAGGUUACAUGAUCACACAAAAUCUGUUAUGGUUGCUAUCCAUUUUGUGACAUAUUAAUGAUUGAUACUAAUUUCUAUCCGAUGCUCUGAUCAUAUCAGGGUUAAUUAUGUCAUAUUAAAGACAUGCAUCUAAUGUAUGAGCAAAUUUGAAUUGGUCUUAACAUUCACAAAGGAAAUUGUCCGAUUGUAUUAAUUCUCUGUCAAGUAUACACAAUGAAUGCUUUCUCUUUGAUUGACAUCACAUAUUGGUGCACAUUUACGAUGUACCACAGUGACAUUUUUAAUUAAGUUAUAAGACUAAGAGUAUUGUUGAUGUGAUUAUCCUUUUGUCUACUUGGGAUAGAGGUAUAGCUUCAUUUAUUUUACAAAAUUAAUGAAACAUGUCAACUUAUAAUAAUUAAUCUCGUUGGUUAAAAGUGCAUUUGGAGUCAUUGUGUGAGGAAACCGGACUUGGGAAAAACCAACCUCAUGGUUGGUCAGGUGAUACACACAGAAUUUUUUAAAUGUUUUUUCUACAUCAACAUUACACAAGUGUUUCCAGUUAACUGCCUGAUUAGGCUAUUUGUGAUAGGUGUUCGCCAAGAUUAAAAAAGUAAUAAACCAAUACAUUAUGGUUGUUAAUCGGACCAUUUCGUUGUUCAGUAUUUGUUAGUGCUUUAGUAGUUCAUCUGGGUUUUAGUCAUCUCCCAAUAAUACACGUUUAUGUGCAGCAUGUUAUCCUAGAUUAGCUUGUAAUGAUGUGGUGCAAAUCUCUGAAAUACAACUUACUUAUAAUAAGCUACAGAAACCUAUUGGAGCAACAAUUCUAUUUGAAACAAAUACACUGUACAUUUUUUAUAAGGGUAAUUUCUGAAAUACUGUUUAAUUGUAAAAGAAAUAUUUUCUAUAUGUUUGGUUUUCAUUAUAGAUAAUUAAAGAAUAUAAUUGACCAGUAAAACAAUUUCUCUUCUACUGUGACCUGUCCUACCUUACGUUGUUGCCUUGAAGCUCCUUCCAAUAAACCCCCCCUAGCCGAAGUUGGUGUAAUUUUUAUUGAGGCUUUUACCUCCACAUGCAGACUGUGAUAUGGUAGUGUUAAUCCUGUUUAGACGGUCGUUUUGUUACAUGGAUGCUGUCCAAAUACUGAAUUAUCAACUAAUGCUAGAUUACAGGAAUCCUUGUUUCUGGUAAAUUCUUUCCAUUAAGACAGUAAGACCCCGUGUCAAAAAUUCUUUCCUUUGUGACAGACAGUAGAACCCUAUGGAUAAUUUUUUUUCGUUAUGAGAGUAGAAACCUGUAGACAGGUAACUAGGAACAGGAUAAAACACCACAGAACAUUAUACUAAUAUGUGAUACCUGUACUGCUACACAAGGUUAUCAUAUUAAAUGGUACGGCUCCAAUAUUACGUUACAAAGGUAAUUUGGUGAUAAAGCUUCACAGUUGCCUUGUUUCAUUUUCUGUGACUUGAUGUAACAAUUGACUGUAUACCUGUGUAUAUAUACUGCUAUAUAGUAAAAGUCUUCAGAAAUAU